UACGGGGGGGCGAAGCGUUGUUCGGUAAUUACUGGGCGUAAAGGGCCAGUAGGCGGCCAACUAAGUCGGAUGUGAAAUCCCCAGGCUUAACCUGGGAACUGCAUCCGAUACUGGAUGGCUUGAAUUCGGGAGAGGGAUGCAGAAUUCCAGGUGUAGCGGUGAAAUGCGUAGAUAUCUGGAGGAAUACCGGUGGCGAAGGCGGCAUCCUGGACCGACAUUGACGCUGAACGGCGAAAGCUAGGGGAGCGAAACAGGGAGUU
rnacentral:rRNA from 1 species